rnacentral:rRNA from 1 species
AACGAACGCUGGCGGCAGGCUUAACACAUGCAAGUCGAGCGAGACCUUCGGGUCUAGCGGCGGACGGGUGAGUAACGCGUGGGAACGUGCCCUUCUCUACGGAAUAGCCCCGGGAAACUGGGAGUAAUACCGUAUACGCCCUUUGGGGGAAAGAUUUAUCGGAGAAGGAUCGGCCCGCGUUGGAUUAGGUAGUUGGUGGGGUAAUGGCCCACCAAGCCGACGAUCCAUAGCUGGUUUGAGAGGAUGAUCAGCCACACUGGGACUGAGACACGGCCCAGACUCCUACGGGAGGCAGCAGUGGGGAAUCUUAGACAAUGGGGGCAACCCUGAUCUAGCCAUGCCGCGUGAGUGAUGAAGGCCUUAGGGUUGUAAAGCUCUUUCAGCUGGGAAGAUAAUGACGUACCAGCAGAGAGCCC